GUGCUCGCUUGGGCAGCACAUACACUAAAAAUCUGAACCGUACAGAGGAGUUUAGCAAGGCCCCUGCGCUAGGAAGACAGGCCAAUUCGUGAAAAGCGUUCCAUAUAG
ensembl:snRNA U6 U6 spliceosomal RNA